UCGCUAGGUUUGCAACUACGUGUCCCAGACUGCAUCCCUGCUGAGAGUCCCUCCCUCCCUUCUCAUAUUGCAGGAAGAACGUAAGUUCCCGCCCCUUGUCAAUCAGUCACCAUAUAAUUUUGGAUUGGUUGUUGUGGUGAAGUUUUCCACCAAUAGGAGAGAUGUUGUGGUGUGUUUUUUUUUUCUUUUGGCAAGCCUUUUCCGCCUGUAAGACCUGUCGCUAAUGUCUGCAUGCUAUGUUUUCCUGUCACAUACAGCGCGAUCGAGCGCCGAGCGUGAUCAAAAUAAGCAGAAAAAAAGUAUCGCGGACAUAAUUUAUCAUAACUCUGGUUUUAUUUGGCCUAUCAACACAAUUUAAAAACUGGUAUAUAGGUUGAGGUCCUCACUUUUGAGAUAAGUUGAAACGGAGAGUCAACAAGGCUCCGUCUUGCAGCUACAUCCGGUUAAAUAUGUCAUGUGACUUGAACGCACACACAGACACACACACGCACACACACACACACACACACACACACACACACACUCAGAGUCUGGUUUUUAGCACCUGCAAAAACAUGCUAUUUACAUAUUUGACAAGAAUGCAGAGGCUCCUUUUGCCCCUGAAAAAAAUCAAAUUUCAAACACAACUUGACUGGUCAUUUCUCCAAAAGACAACCAUGAAGCUCCAUCCAAACCUGAAGCAGGCAGUUGGUGCAUGUGUACAGUAACCUGAGGGGAGUGAGGUGAGUGCUUCUGAGGAGAACAUGAGCAGUGAAGAUUCACCUUGGAGCUAGAACAGAGACAUGCACAUGAUUAUACAGGGGCAGGGGCUCAAGUUUUUUCCAGUCGUUUAUACAAUAUGGAAAUUAAUGUGAAAUUAAAACACAAAGUAUUAAUAGAAAGGUAAUGACUGUCCUGUGUAGGUGACAGUGAUAUCCAAUAAGCUAGGCACUCACGAGGCUGGCUGUGGCAAGUGUAAGUGAAAGCAACACGCACUGGCAGGAAGAACAGCAAACGCCGAUGAAGGAAAAGGGUCUUUGCAGUGAUGGGCGUUAACAGAGAGGGCGAUGGCCAGAGGACACAAAUGGGACGGGGAGGCAGCACGUUGGGGGGGGGGGGAGACGCGACACGGCUCGGGCCCGCCAGUGCCCCAACGGGGUCCUAGUUAGGGCCCGAGCCAGCUGCAGAGCAGCCGGGCGUAGGCCCUAUUAUUCCCCAAGUGGUUUUUCUUUGUUUCUUUCUUUCUUUUUUCUUUUUCCUCCCCUUUGAACUGGAAAAUGGCCCACUUCCCACUGGCGAAAACUCAUGAAAUUUGGCAGGACGACCGGGCCUGGUGAAAAAUUUGAUAUUCUGAAGUCGCCCAAACAAUAAAAUGCAAAAUGGCUCCAUAGCGCCCCCUAAGGUGAAAAUUCACACUAUUGACUGUCACGCCUGUACGCUUUGUCAUAUUGACACAAAAAUUGACACACAUAUGUAUCUCAAUAAGAUCUACAAAAAAGUCAGUGCGGCCGUAUCUGUCAAAAUUACGGUUAAAGGGUUAUUUCGCAUUUUUUGCCGAUCCGCACACAUUGGAAUUUCGCUAACUCCUCCGAAGGCUUUCGUUCCACCGGCACCACAUUUGCUCAGGCCAAUCUACACCCCGUGGCCAUUAAAAGUUAUCAAAAUCAUGACGCUGCACCCCAAGGUUUAGGUUCUAGGGGGCGCCAAAGAUAACACUAAAAUCCACAUAUUUAAAAGUCUUAUAACUUUUUAUUUUUGUCCUCACUGGCCUCCAAGUUUUCUAGGAUGAUGCAAUGUCCAGCCAUCAACACAUUUGUGAAGGAAUUUUUACUCCCCAAAAGAGCGCCCCCCCAUGGCAGGAGAAAAAAGUCCAUUUUUUCUUGUCCCCUAAGGUGAAAAUACACAUUGUUGAGUGUCACGCCUAUACGCUUUGUCAAAAUGACACAAAAAUUGACACACACAUGUAACUCAAUAAGAUCUACGAAAAAGUCAAUGCGCGCGUAUCUGUCAAAUGUACGGUUAAAGGGUUAUUCCGCAUUUUUUGCCGAUCCGCACACAUUGGAAUUUCGCUAACUCCUCCUAAGGCUUUCGUUCCACCGGCACCACAUUUGCUCAGGCCAAUCUACACCCCAUGGCCAUUAAAAGUUAUCAAAAUCAUGACGCUGCACCCCACGGUUUAGGUUCUAGGGGGCGCCAAAGAUAACCCUAAAAUCCACAUAUUUAAAAGUCUUAUAACUUUUUAUUUUUGUCCUCACUGGCCUCCAAGUUUUCUAGGAUGAUGCAAUGUCCAGCCAUCAACACAUUUGUGAAGGAAUUUUUACUCCCCAAAAGAGCGCCCCCCCAUGGCAGGAGAAAAAAGUCCAUUUUUUCUUGUCCUCUAAGGUGAAAAUACAUAUUGUUGAGAUUCACGCCUAUACGCUUUGUCAUAUUGACACAAAAUUUGACAAUCACGUGCCUUGCCUGGUAUCAUUUUUUUCAGCACAACCUCACCUGUGCGAAUUUACAGUUAUUUUAUCAUGUUGACAUACUGAAUUUACACAAUGGACCCAAAUUCACACACAAAACAUAAAAUCCGAGUGGAAAAAAGUAACAUUUUUACUGUGAAAACCACAAAUAUGUGUGAUGAACUGUUUUUAAAACUUAAACUUCAAAUAAAAAUUGUAAACUUCAAAACAUAUGCAAAUUUUUAACAAAGAACAUAGUGAUUUACCUCUAUUUACAUCAAAAUGCAGGCAAUGGCCCAGGCGUUCUUUGUAAAAUUAUUUACAAAACACUGUAUAGUCUCACAAAUGUCACUUUUUAUUUAUGCCACUACAAAAAAACAUGAUGUAAAUGAUGCAUGAUGUAAAACAUGAUGUAAAAAACUUGUGUAGAUCCUCCUCUAUGUCAGUCCAUGUGUAAUUUUUCCAUAAUUCUUUGUUUUUUGCAGCAUUUUUGUUAGUGUAACUGCAGAUUGUGCUGACAGUGUCUAUGGCACAAAAAAAAAUAAAUAAAUUAAAAUGCCUCAACAUGAACCCCUGGUGGUCUCUGAGGGUGAAACCUGCUAACUGCUGCAGCUCUGUCAGCUUCAGUCUCCCAUGCAGAGCUCUGAGCGCAUGUGUGGCUCUGCACCCUUAGCAGCGUUGCUAACUCCUCAGUAAGGAAAGCCUGCUUCAUGUCAGAGUCUCUAAACUCCAGAAGAAGUCGAUAAAAGUCCCUUUCUUUCUAAAAAAAAGUCGUUAGGGGGUCUGAAAAGUCAUUGAAUCUAACAACAAAGUCGCUAGGUUUGCAACUACGUGUCCCAGACUGCAUCCCUGCUGAGAGUCCCUCCCUCCCUUCUCAUGUUGCAGGAAGAACGUAAGCGCCCCCCUUGUCAAUCAGUCACCAUAUAAUUUUGGAUUGGUUGUUGUGGUGAAGUUUUCCACCAAUAGGAGAGAUGUUGUGGUGUGUUUUUUUUUUCUUUUGGCAAGCCUUUUCCGCCUGUAAGAGCUGUCGCUAAUGUCUGCAUGCUAUGUUUUCCUGUCUCAUACAGCGCGAUCGAGCGCCGAACGUGAUCAAAAUAAGCAGAAAAAAAGUAUCGCGGACAUAAUUUAUCAUAACUCUGGUUUUAUUUGGCCUAUCAACACAAUUUAAAAACUGGUAUAUAGGUUGAGGUCCUCACUUUUGAGAUAAGUUGAAACGGAGAGUCAACGAGGCUCCGUCUUGCAGCUACAUCCGGUUAAAUAUGUCAUGUGACUUGAACGCACACACAGACACACACACACGCACACACACACACACACACACACACACUCAGAGUCUGGUUUUUAGCACCUGCAAAAACAUGCUAUUUACAUAUUUGACAAGAAUGCAGAGGCUCCUUUUGCCCCUGAAAAAAAUCAAAUUUCAAACACAACUUGACUGGUCAUUUCUCCAAAAGACAACCAUGAAGCUCCAUCCAAACCUGAAGCAGGCAGUUGGUGCAUGUGUACAGUAACCUGAGGGGAGUGAGGUGAGUGCUUCUGAGGAGAACAUGAGCAGUGAAGAUUCACCUUGGAGCUAGAACAGAGACAUGCACAUGAUUAUACAGGGGCAGGGGCUCAAGUUUUUUCCAGUCGUUUAUACAAUAUGGAAAUUAAUGUGAAAUUAAAACACAAAGUAUUAAUAGAAAGGUAAUGACUGUCCUGUGUAGGUGACAGUGAUAUCCAAUAGGCUAGGCACUCACGAGGCUGGCUGUGGCAAGUGUAAGUGAAAGCAACACGCACUGGCAGGAAGAACAGCAAACGCAGAUGAAGGAAAAGGGUCUUUGCAGUGAUGGGCGUUACCAGAGAGAGCGAUGGCCAGAGGACACAAAUGGGACGGGGAGGCAGCACGUUGGGGGGGGGGGGGACGCGACACGGCUCGGGCCCGCCAGUGCCCCAACGGGGUCCUAGUUAGGGCCCGAGCCAGCUGCAGAGCAGCCGGGCGUAGGCCCUGUUAUUCCUGUAGGGGUUUUUCUUUGUUUCUUUCUUUCUUCUUUUUCCUCCCCUUUGAACUGGAAAAUGGCCCACUUCCCACUGGCGAAAACUCAGGAAAUUUGGCAGGACGACCGGGCCUGGUGAAAAAUUUGAUAUUCCAAAGUCGCCCAAACAAGAAAAUGCAAAAUGGCUCCAUAGCGCCCCCUAAGGUGAAAAUUCACACUAUUGACUGUCACGCCUGUACGCUUUGUCAAAAUGACACAAAAAUUGACACACACAUGUAUCUCAAUAAGAUCUACAAAAAAGUCAGUGCGGGCGUAUCUGUCAAAUGUACGGUUAAAGGGUUAUUCCGCAUUUUUUGCCGAUCCGCACACAUUGGAAUUUCGCUAACUCCUCCUAAGGCUUUCGUUCCACCGGCACCACAUUUGCUCAGGCCAAUCUACACCCCAUGGCCAUUAAAAGUUAUCAAAAUCAUGACGCUGCACCCCACGGUUUAGGUUCUAGGGGGCGCCAAAGAUAACCCUAAAAUCCACAUAUUUAAAAGUCUUAUAACUUUUUAUUUUUGUCCUCACUGGCCUCCAAGUUUUCUAGGAUGAUGCAAUGUCCAGCCAUCAACACAUUUGUGAAGGAAUUUUUACUCCCCAAAAGAGCGCCCCCCCAUGGCAGGAGAAAAAAGUCCAUUUUUUCUUGUCCCCUAAGGUGAAAAUACACAUUGUUGAGUGUCACGCCUAUACGCUUUGUCAAAAUGACACAAAAAUUGACACACACAUGUAACUCAAUAAGAUCUACGAAAAAGUCAAUGCGCGCAUAUCUGUCAAAUGUACGGUUAAAGGGUUAUUCCGCAUUUUUUGCCGAUCCGCACACAUUGGAAUUUCGCUAACUCCUCCUAAGGCUUUCGUUCCACCGGCACCACAUUUGCUCAGGCCAAUCUACACCCCAUGGCCAUUAAAAGUUAUCAAAAUCAUGACGCUGCACCCCACGGUUUAGGUUCUAGGGGGCGCCAAAGAUAACCCUAAAAUCCACAUAUUUAAAAGUCUUAUAACUUUUUAUUUCUGUCCUCACUGGCCUCCAAGUUUUCUAGGAUGAUGCAAUGUCCAGCCAUCAACACAUUUGUGAAGGAAUUUUUACUCCCCAAAAGAGCGCCCCCCAUGGCAGGAGAAAAAAGUCCAUUUUUUCUUGUCCUCUAAGGUGAAAAUACAUAUUGUUGAGAUUCACGCCUAUACGCUUUGUCAUAUUGACACAACAUUUGACAAUCACGUGCCUUGCCUGGUAUCAUUUUUUUCAGCACAACCUCACCUGUGCGAAUUUACAGUUAUUUUAUCAUGUUGACAUACUGAAUUUACACAAUGGACCCAAAUUCACACACAAAACAUAAAAUCCGAGUGGAAAAAAGUAACAUUUUUACUGUGAAAACCACAAAUAUGUGUGAUGAACUGUUUUUAAAACUUAAACUUCAAAUAAAAAUUGUAAACUUCAAAACAUAUGCAAAUUUUUAACAAAGAACAUAGUGAUUUACCUCUAUUUACAUCAAAAUGCAGGCAAUGGCCCAGGCGUUCUUUGUAAAAUUAUUUACAAAACACUGUAUAGUCUCACAAAUGUCACUUUUUAUUUAUGCCACUACAAAAAAACAUGAUGUAAAUGAUGCAUGAUGUAAAACAUGAUGUAAAAAACUUGUGUAGAUCCUC